GAUGAACGCUAGCGGCAGGCUUAAUACAUGCAAGUCGAGGGGUAGCAAGAUUGUAGCAAUACAAUUGUUGACGACCGACAAACGGGUGCGGAACACGUACACAACCUUCCUACAAGUGGGGAAUAGCCCAGGGAAAUUUGGAUUAAUACCCCGUAACAUAGCGAUGUGGCAUCACAUUGCUAUUAUAGCUUCGGCGCUUGUUGAUGGGUGUGCGGCUGAUUAGAUAGUUGGCGGGGUAACGGCCCACCAAGUCUACGAUCAGUAGCUGAUGUGAGAGCAUGAUCAGCCACACGGGCACUGAGACACGGGCCCGACUCCUACGGGAGGCAGCAGUAAGGAAUAUUGGACAAUGGACGCAAGUCUGAUCCAGCCAUGCCGCGUGAAGGAUUAAGGUCCUCUGGAUUGUAAACUUCUUUUAUAAGGGACGAAAAAAGGUCUUUCUAGAUCGUCUGACGGUACCUUAUGAAUAAGCACCGGCUAACUCCGUGCCAGCCGCCGCGGUAAUAC
rnacentral:rRNA from 1 species